UACGUAGGGUGCAAGCGUUGUCCGGAUUUAUUGGGCGUAAAGAGCUCGUAGGCGGCUUGUCGCGUCGACUGUGAAAACCCGCGGCUCAACUGCGGGCUUGCAGUCGAUACGGGCAGGCUAGAGUUCGGUAGGGGGAGACUGGAAUUCCUGGUGUAGCGGUGAAAUGCGCAGAUAUCAGAGGAACACCAGUGGCGAAGGCGACUUCCUGGCCUGUUCUUGACGCUGAGGCGCGAAAGCUAGGGUAGCAAACGGG
rnacentral:rRNA from 1 species